rnacentral:rRNA from 1 species
UACGUAGGGUGCGAGCGUUAAUCGGAAUUACUGGGCGUAAAGCGUGCGCAGGCGGUUUUGUAAGCCAGAUGUGAAAGCCCCGGGCUUAACCUGGGAAUGGCAUUUGGGACUGCAAGGCUUGAGUGCGGCAGAGGAGACUGGAAUUCCUGGUGUAGCAGUGAAAUGCGUAGAUAUCAGGAGGAAUACCGAUGGCGAAGGCGGCUCUCUGGGACGGUACUGACGCUGAGACGCGAAAGCGUGGGGAGCGAACAGG